rnacentral:rRNA from 1 species
UACGUAGGGUGCGAGCGUUAUUCGGAAUUACUGGGCGUAAAGCGUGCGCAGGCGGUUUUGUAAGUCCGAUGUGAAAUCCCCGGGCUUAACCUGGGAAUGGCAUUUGGGACUGCAAGGCUGGAGUGUGGCAGAGGAGACUGGAAUUCCCGGUGUAGCAGUGAAAUGCGUAGAUAUCGGGAGGAAUACCGAUGGCGAAGGCAGGUCUCUGGGCUGACACUGACGCUCAUGCACGAAAGCGUGGGGAGCAAACAGG